AAGGCAGUAAACUGGAGCCAAGUGGGUUAAAUCCUUCUUGCUGCUAUUAAGGGGAGGAGACAGAUUUCUGCAGACUCUACAUUUUGGAGAGAAACAGAAAAGAAUGUCCCCAAGUCUCCUUUGCCCUGCGAUGCUGGGGCGAUUGGCAAGGUCCCAAGAGAAGCACAACGGUAACCGACAACCGACGCUGCCCUCGGCUGAACUGUUAAAUCCUUCGGAUGGAUGCUGGAAUCGACCUUGGUCUCUAGUUCGACUCCCGUGCAACGUGUUGAGGAGGAGCCACCUCCUCCAAGCACCUAAAGCCGGUGUCCAACCAUACGUGCCCAACACGGCCCUGCUGUGGAUCACCGCGCUCCAAGCCUGAGAAGCCAUCGGGACGACAGGAUGAACCGCUGGCUGGGCGCGGCGUCCCCACCAGGCUACGCAAGAGCUCCAUGCGGUGACGACGCGCGGGGACCAGGAGCCUGCGGUGCCCUGUAACCCCGAGAAGAAGUGCUCGGCGAGCGCAGAGCCCGGUGGAGCAUAGCUGGGAGGAAUGGGGAUGGACGAGGGCGGAGGGAAGAACAAACACUCAAACUAUGCUGGGAUUCGAGCACGGGCUUCUCGCUCAAAAAGAGCCCGACCACAGAGGAACCCUCAAUCUUAUGAUCUGACGUCAGACGCCUCAUCCCUUAGGCCACGCGGUCACAAUGCCCAGGGAGGCUCAGAGACUAGUCCAGGUGCUGCUCCGCUCGGGGGUGACCAGGCGGGCGGCUGGGGCCAGAGGAAGGGUGAGCGCUUCGCUCAAUAGGUGGCCAGGGUGCGAGCAGCGAAGCUGCGCCACGCCGGAGCGUUUAAUGGCCAUCAAAUUGGUCUCUCCAGGAAAGGAUUACAGCAGGAGACCGCGUGGCCUAAUGGAUAAGGCGUCUGACUUCGGAUCAGAAGAUUGAGGGUUCGAGUCCCUUCGUGGUCGGAACGUUUUAAUCCCUGCAACUAUAAUCUCCGUCUCUUUACUGGUUUUAGACCCAGAAACGCCUCCCAAUCCCUCCACGCCGCGGCUCCCGGGAUCCGAAGCUGGGUAGCUGCUUCUGUCCAAUCAGGGCUUCGCAUCCCGGGACGCUUCCGGUUAUGGCGUCAUUACGCAGCCUGUGGCGUCUCAGUUUAAGAGACAUGAUCGGGCGCUUUCUGCGGGAACCCCCCAGUUGCCUAAUGGAUAAGGCAUUGGCCUCCUUAAGGCUUGGACUUUGGGUUUCAGUCAUAUUUGCGGUGGCGUGGCCUAGCUGCUGGGAGCCGUAUUUUUGAGAUCCAUUUUAAUAAAAGUAAUUUUUUAAAAAAAUGUAUAACGUAAACAAAAACCAACUGGCACAUUUUGUCUUUUUAAUAACAUUUCCCUUUAUUUUGUGCUUGUGUCUAUUUCAAUUAAUUUUCCUU